rnacentral:rRNA from 1 species
GACGGGUAACGGGGAAUCAGGGUUCGAUUCCGGAGAGGGAGCCCGAGAAACGGCUACCACUUCCAAGGAAGGCAGCAGGCGCGCAACUUACCCUAAUCUCGAUUCGAGGAGGUAGUGACAAGAAAUACCGAUGCGGGACCCUACGGGUGCCGCGUUCGGAAUGAGUACGAUUCGAACCACCUAACGAGGAACGAUCGGAGGGCAAGUCUGGUGCCAGCAGCCGCGGUAAUUCCAGCUCCAAUAGCGUACGUUAAAGUUGCUGCAGUUAAAAAGCUCGUAGUUGAACGUUCGGGUUCCGCGGGACGGGGCCGCCCCGCGAGGGACGGCGCCGCCCCGGGGCUCGUGAUAUCUUAUCUCGCCGCCCGUCGCGAGGCGGACGGAGGGAUGGAUGAGGUUACCUGGAAAAAAUCGGGG